UGUGAGAAAGAUGUGUUUGAAGCAGAUGACGGUCUCCAGGGAGAAGGCGCCAAACUGCCGACCCCUGCGGACGACGGAGAGGGUGGUGAGAGUGGAUGAGGCCUGCACUGAGUUGGACUCCUCCUCAGACUCAUCCCUUAGCUCUGACCUGCAGUGGGAUUUUGAACAAGCAAGCCCACAAUGGAGCAGACCCCCCC